rnacentral:rRNA from 1 species
AAGUCGAGCGGUAACAGAAAGUAGCUUGCUACUUUGCUGACGAGCGGCGGACGGGUGAGUAAUGCCUGGGAAUUUGCCCAUUCGAGGGGGAUAACAGUUGGAAACGACUGCUAAUACCGCAUACGCCCUACGGGGGAAAGGAGGGGACCUUCGGGCCUUCCGCGAAUGGAUAAGCCCAGGUGGGAUUAGCUAGUAGGUGAGGUAAUGGCUCACCUAGGCGACGAUCCCUAGCUGUUCUGAGAGGAUGAUCAGCCACACUGGGACUGAGACACGGCCCAGACUCCUACGGGAGGCAGCAGUGGGGAAUAUUGCACAAUGGGCGAAAGCCUGAUGCAGCCAUGCCGCGUGUGUGAAGAAGGCCUUCGGGUUGUAAAGCACUUUCAGCGAGGAGGAAAGGUUACUGGCUAAUAUCCAGUAGCUGUGACGUUACUCGCAGAAGAAGCACCGGCUAACUCCGUGCCAGC